rnacentral:rRNA from 1 species
GAUGAACGCUGGCGGCGUGCCUAAUACAUGCGAGUCGAGCGAACGGACGAGAAGCUUGCUUCUCUGAUGUUAGCGGCGGACGGGUGAGUAACACGUGGAUAACCUACCUAUAAGACUGGGAUAACUUCGGGAAACCGGAGCUAAUACCGGAUAAUAUUUUGAACCGCAUGGUUCAAAAGUGAAAGACGGUCUUGCUGUCACUUAUAGAUGGAUCCGCGCUGCAUUAGCUAGUUGGUAAGGUAACGGCUUACCAAGGCAACGAUGCAUAGCCGACCUGAGAGGGUGAUCGGCCACACUGGAACUGAGACACGGUCCAGACUCCUACGGGAGGCAGCAGUAGGGAAUCUUCCGCAAUGGGCGAAAGCCUGACGGAGCAACGCCGCGUGAGUGAUGAAGGUCUUCGGUUCGUAAAACUCUGUUAUUAGGGAAGAACAUAUGUGUAAGUAACUGUGCACAUCUUGACGGUACCUAAUCAGAAAGCCACGGCUAACUACGUG